GAUGAACGCUGGCGGCGUGCCUAAUACAUGCAAGUCGAGCGAACAGACGAGGAGCCUGCUCCUCUGACGUUAGCGGCGGACGGGAGAGUAACACGUGUAUAACCUACCUAUAAGACUGGGAUAACUUCGGGAAACCGGAGCUAAUCCCGGAUAAUAUAUUGAACCGCAUGGUGCAAUGGUGAAAUACGGUUUUGCUGUCACUUAUAGCUGGAUCCGCGCUGCAUUGGCUAGUUGGUAAGGUCACGGGUUACCAAGGCAACGAUGCGUAGCCGAACUGAGAGGGUGGUCGGCCACACUGGAAGUGAAACAGGGUCCAGACUCCUACGGGACGCAGCAGUAGGGAAUGUGCCGCAACGGGCGAAAGCCUUACGGAGCAGCGCCGCGUGAGUGAUGAAGGUCUUCGGAUCGUAAAACUCUGUUAUUAGUGAAGAACAAAUUUGUAAGUAACUAUGCACGUCGUGACGGUACCUAAUAAGAAAGCCACGGCUAACUACGUG
rnacentral:rRNA from 1 species